AGAUUGUCUGCCCUUUUCCGGCUUUAGAAAGAUUUGCUUCCAGAAUGAACCGUCGCGGUCGCUCUCGAGACGCACCCGAGCCCUUCCCUAUUUCCUUUCUAUUCUCGGACUCUAUAAGAAGGCCCCCAAGGGACUCGAAUCGAGAGCAUUUCUCUACAUCGUUACCCGGCAACGCUCGUCUAGUGAAACGACAGGAUGGCUGACGAUUACGAGACUCACGUCAACGUUCCGCUAGAACCCGCGGUCCGUCGCUUUCUCUUGGAACGUCGAGCAUCCCGAUCCGAGGAUCUCCCGGAACAUCUAGAUGGCUUUCGCCAUGAAAGACGUCGCUCUGUGGAUUAUAAAGAACUCAAGGACUACAGGAACCUCGCCGAUGAAGAGAGGCAGACUUCGAUUGCUGCAAAGCCUGUUGGCACCAAGAAAGCAUGAACUCUGCAGAGAAGUCUAAAGACUAAGGGAUCGAGAUCGUGCUCCCACGUCGUCAGAAACACGUCAGUCUCCCCACUUAAUGGCUAAAUCCCCGAGUCUUGGUCGGGAUC